GCCUGUGAGGUCUGAACGCCGUGAAGCUCGAGCGACAUGGGUUGCCUCACAGGGGCUCUGCAAGUCACCAGGGACCCGGCAGAUGCCAAGAGGUGGGAGAGAGGAGCGCGAGAGAGGUGGGGCCUCAGGUCAGCAAAAACUAGAGAGGAUUAUUCUGUGAUGUGGAGGAUUAAUCCAGCCUAACACGUUCCACAUCCAGCAAGGCCGUGUGUCUGUCUACACUGGAUGUGGGAGCGUUGCCACUCCCCAUUUGCAACCCACAGCAGAAGCCAACCAAGGUCAGGGGCAGCAUCACAAAUGGGAUGCCUCCCUGAAACGCAAUAGCCGUCGGAAGAAAGUCUGGGGCAGCAACUCUUUGGGAAACAUCUCUGGAGACGAAAUGGCGUGGUUUGUGGUGCCAUCUUGGU